rnacentral:rRNA from 1 species
CCUACGGGAGGCAGCAGUGAGGAAUAUUGGUCAAUGGGCGCGAGUCUGAACCAGCCAAGUAGCGUGAAGGAUGACUGUCCUACGGGCUGUAAACUUCUUUUAUAAAGGAAUAAAGUGAGGCACGCGUGCCUUCUUGCAUGUACUUUAUGAAUAAGGAUCGGAUAACCCCGUGCCAGUAGCCGCGGCAAUACGGAGGGUCCGAGCGUUACCCGGAUUUAAUGGGUUUAAAGGGAGCGUCGGUUGGUCUGUAAGUCAGGUGUGAAAGUUUGCGGCUCAACCGUAGAAUGGCAAUUGAUACUGGCAGCCUUGAAUACGGUAGAGGUAGGCGGAAUUCGUGGUGUAGCAGUGAAAUGCGUAGAUAUCACGAAGAACUCCGGUUGCGAAGGCAGCUUACUAAACUGGCACUGACAUUGAUGCUCGAAAGUGUGGGUAGCAAACAGGAUUAGAUACCCUGGUAGUC